rnacentral:rRNA from 1 species
UCGAACGAGAAAGUGGAGCAAUCCAUGAGUAAAGUGGCGACCGGGUGAGUAACACGUGACUAACCUACCUUCGAGUGGGGGAUAACCUCGGGAAACCGAGGCUAAUACCGCAUAACAUCGCAAGAUCAAAGCAGCAAUGCGCUUGAAGAGGGGGUCGCGGCUGAUUAGCCAGUUGGCGGGGUAACGGCCCACCAAAGCGAAGAUCGGUAGCCGGCCUGAGAGGGCGCACGGCCACACUGGAACUGAAACACGGUCCAGACUCCUACGGGAGGCAGCAGUGGGGAAUUUUGCGCAAUGGGGGAAACCCUGACGCAGCAACGCCGCGUGGAGGAUGAAGCCCCUUGGGGCGUAAACUCCUUUCGACCAAGACGAUAAUGACGGUACUGGUGGAAGAAGCACCGGCUAACUCUGUGCCAGCAGCCGCGGUAAUACGUAGGGGGCAAGCGUUGUUCGGAAUUACUGGGCGUAAAGAGCGCGUAGGCGGCGCAGUGUGUUUGGUGUGAAAUCUCCCGGCUCAACCGGGAGGGGCCAUCGAAAACUGCUGUGCUUCGGGUACGGGAGAGGGGAGUGGAAUUCCCGGUGUAGCGGUGAAAUGCGUAGAGAUCGGGAGGAACACCAGCGACGAAGGUGGCUCCCUGGACCGUUACCGACGCUGAGGCGCGAAAGCUAGGGGAGCAAACAGGAUUAGAUACCCUGGUAGUCCUAGCCCUAAACGAUGUUCACUUGGUGUG